AUGACCAGGGAUCAUGCUACGCAUAUGACACCUUCAGAACAAUUGGGUUCUCCUAUCAGAAACAUAACAACAGACAGUUCUUUGCCAGAUGCUGGGGAUGAUUUUCUGUCCAAGGAAGGACUGGAUCUGUGGGACAAACACUUCAAGCCUACUGAAGGAGCUGACAAAGUGAUUCAACUCCUGAUAGCUUUAGUUGGGCUAAAUCACUUUUGUCCUCUCAACUCUGGAACUACAUCAUUGAGGGAUCUAUUGACAAAAAGUUCAUUCCUUUUGCACUGCCUGACUCCUGUAUCUCUGGUCAUACUCCUACUUGUCAGCUACUUAAUGUGGAGCAGGAGGUCUCCUCAGCUCAGCCGACUACGCCAAAGCACACUAAUGUUGAAGAGGAUCAUGGAGCUCGCUCAGCUAGCACGUCUGUUGUGUAUGCUCGAAAGAAGAGGAAAGACAAGGCUCCUAUCUGUGAAACUGAGGCUAAUGCUAAGGACUGCACUGAUGAGAUGCUCCAGCGGCCUAAGAAGAAGAAAGAAGCCAAGGGAGCGCAGAAGAAGCCUGCAAUCUUUCGGCCUUAAAUCUUUAGUUGCACUCUUGCUACUUUUGUAA
rnacentral:rRNA from 1 species